GAAAAACUUGGCUAAAUCUCGAUAGAACGUUAAUAUAUCAGAACGGUACAUGUCUGAAAUUUAAUUUUUGAAUUUUCAAGUUUCGUUAUGAAUUUAGAUUGGUUUAUAUUCAACCUGCUGUAUCAAAAUUCGAUGGAAUGAACUUUAAACGAUGAAAAAUCAUUAUUCGAUAUUUUUUAGAAUAUCAAGAUUUGUGGGGUGUGGGGAUAAUAAAAAUUAUAAAAAAGAAUUUAGUAAAGAAGACAGAAAAGUUUUGUCAUUUAUUUUUCAAGCAGUAGAUCUGUCAUUGGUUGAAAAUAUUUCAAUAGCAAAGAUAGCACGUGAAGCAUGGAGAAUACUAGCAAAAAUUAGAGGAGAUGAUUUGCAGUAAGAAAAUGAAAUUUAGGAAGAAGAAAAAAU
rnacentral:lncRNA from 1 species